rnacentral:rRNA from 1 species
UACGAAGGGGGCUAGCGUUGCUCGGAAUCACUGGGCGUAAAGCGCACGUAGGCGGAUCUUUAAGUCGGGGGUGAAAUCCCGGAGCUCAACUCCGGAACUGCCUUCGAUACUGGAGAUCUUGAGUCCGAGAGAGGUGAGUGGAACUCCGAGUGUAGAGGUGAAAUUCGUAGAUAUUCGGAAGAACACCAGUGGCGAAGGCGGCUCACUGGCUCGGUACUGACGCUGAGGUGCGAAAGCGUGGGGAGCAAACAGG